UCUCAAAGAUUAAGCCAUGCAUGUCUAAGUGCACGCCUUUAUACGGUGAAACCGCGAAUGGCUCAUUAAAUCAGCUAUGGUUUAUUGGAUCGUACCCGUUAAAUGGAUAACUGUAAUAACUCUAGAGCUAAUACAUGCCACGAAGCCCUGACCCGCGAGGGAAUGGGUGCACUUAUUAGAUCAGAAGCCAACCGGGCGGGCUGCUUCGGCUGUUCGUCUGUUGCCCUUCUGGUGACUCUGGAUAAUUGUUACAGAUCGCACCGGCCUUGAGUCGGCGACGGGUCCUUCAAAUGUCUGCCCUAUCAACUUUCGAUGGUAGGUGAUCUGCCUACCAUGGUGAUAACGGGUAACGGGGAAUCAGGGUUCGAUUCCGGAGAGGGAGCCUGAGAAACGGCUACCACUUCCAAGGGAGGCAGCAGGCGCGCAAAUUACCCACUCCCAGUACGGGGAGGUGGUGACGAAAAAUACUGAUGCGGGACUCAUAAACGAGGCUCCGUAAUCGGAAUGAGUGAACUCUAAAUCCUUUCACGAGGAUCAAUUGGAGGGCAAGUCUGGUGCCAGCAGCCG
rnacentral:rRNA from 1 species